UGUAAUUCCCCACAUCCUCCUUCCUGCGCUUCUUGUAGAUGAGUGUCAUAUUCACCAACCUCCAGUCAACUGGGUCCUUCACAGUUAGCCAAGACUACUGGUAAAUUAUUGAAAGUGGCUUGGUUAGCACUUCUGCCAGCUCCUUCAGCACCCUACAAAUGACUGCUGUCAGG